CACUAUCGUUAACUGAAUACAUAGGUUAACGAGGCGAACCGGGGGAACUGAAACAUCUAAGUACCCCGAGGAAAAGAAAUCAACCGAGAUUCCCCCAGUAGCGGCGAGCGAACGGGGAGCAGCCCAGAGUCUGAAUCAGCUUGUGUGUUAGUGGAACGGUCUGGAAAGUCCGACGGUACAGGGUGAUAGUCCCGUACACCAAAAUGCACAGGUUGUGAACUCGAAGAGUAGGGCGGGACACGUGGUAUCCUGUCUGAAUAUGGGGGGACCAUCCUCCAAGGCUAAAUACUCCUGACUGACCGAUAGUGAACCAGUACCGUGAGGGAAAGGCGAAAAGAACCCCGGCGAGGGGAGUGAAAAAGAACCUGAAACCGUGUACGUACAAGCAGUGGGAGCACCUUCGGGUGUGACUGCGUACCUUUUGUAUAAUGGGUCAGCGACUUAUAUUCUGUAGCAAGGUUAACCGUAUAGGGGAGCCGCAGGGAAACCGAGUCUUAACUGGGCGUUAAGUUGCAGGGUAUAGACCCGAAACCCGGUGAUCUAGCCAUGGGCAGGUUGAAGGUUGGGUAACACUAACUGGAGGACCGAACCGACUAAUGUUGAAAAAUUAGCGGAUGACUUGUGGCUGGGGGUGAAAGGCCAAUCAAACCGGGAGAUAGCUGGUUCUCCCCGAAAGCUAUUUAGGUAGCGCCUCGUGAAUUCAUCUUCGGGGGUAGAGCACUGUUUCGGCUAGGGGGUCAUCCCGACUUACCAACCCGAUGCAAACUACGAAUACCGAAGAAUGUUAUCACGGGAGACACACGGCGGGUGCUAACGUCCGUCGUGAAGAGGGAAACAACCCAGACCGCCAGCUAAGGUCCCAAAGUCAUGGUUAAGUGGGAAACGAUGUGGGAAGGCACAGACAGCCAGGAUGUUGGCUUAGAAGCAGCCAUCAUUUAAAGAAAGCGUAAUAGCUCACUGGUCGAGUCGGCCUGCGCGGAAGAUGUAACGGGGCUAAACCAUGCACCGAAGCUGCGGCAGCGACACUAUGUGUUGUUGGGUAGGGGAGCGUUCUGUAAGCCUGCGAAGGUGUGCUGUGAGGCAUGCUGGAGGUAUCAGAAGUGCGAAUGCUGACAUAAGUAACGAUAAAGCGGGUGAAAAGCCCGCUCGCCGGAAGACCAAGGGUUCCUGUCCAACGUUAAUCGGGGCAGGGUGAGUCGACCCCUAAGGCGAGGCCGAAAGGCGUAGUCGAUGGGAAACAGGUUAAUAUUCCUGUACUUGGUGUUACUGCGAAGGGGGGACGGAGAAGGCUAUGUUAGCCGGGCGACGGUUGUCCCGGUUUAAGCAUGUAGGCUGGUUAUCCAGGCAAAUCCGGAUAAUCAAGGCUGAGGUGUGAUGACGAGGCACUACGGUGCUGAAGUAACAAAUGCCCUGCUUCCAGGAAAAGCCUCUAAGCAUCAGGUAACAUCAAAUCGUACCCCAAACCGACACAGGUGGUCAGGUAGAGAAUACCAAGGCGCUUGAGAGAACUCGGGUGAAGGAACUAGGCAAAAUGGUGCCGUAACUUCGGGAGAAGGCACGCUGGUGUGUAGGUGAAGUCCCUGCGGAUGGAGCUGAGACCAGUCGAAGAUACCAGCUGGCUGCAACUGUUUAUUAAAAACACAGCACUGUGCAAACACGAAAGUGGACGUAUACGGUGUGACGCCUGCCCGGUGCCGGAAGGUUAAUUGAUGGGGUUAUCCGUAAGGAGAAGCUCUUGAUCGAAGCCCCGGUAAACGGCGGCCGUAACUAUAACGGUCCUAAGGUAGCGAAAUUCCUUGUCGGGUAAGUUCCGACCUGCACGAAUGGCGUAAUGAUGGCCAGGCUGUCUCCACCCGAGACUCAGUGAAAUUGAACUCGCUGUGAAGAUGCAGUGUACCCGCGGCAAGACGGAAAGACCCCGUGAACCUUUACUAUAGCUUGACACUGAACAUUGAGCCUUGAUGUGUAGGAUAGGUGGGAGGCUUUGAAGCGUGGACGCCAGUCUGCGUGGAGCCAACCUUGAAAUACCACCCUUUAAUGUUUGAUGUUCUAACGUUGGCCCCUGACCGGGGUUGCGGACAGUGUCUGGUGGGUAGUUUGACUGGGGCGGUCUCCUCCCAAAGCGUAACGGAGGAGCACGAAGGUUAGCUAAUCCUGGUCGGACAUCAGGAGGUUAGUGCAAUGGCAUAAGCUAGCUUGACUGCGAGCGUGACGGCGCGAGCAGGUGCGAAAGCAGGUCAUAGUGAUCCGGUGGUUCUGAAUGGAAGGGCCAUCGCUCAACGGAUAAAAGGUACUCCGGGGAUAACAGGCUGAUACCGCCCAAGAGUUCAUAUCGACGGCGGUGUUUGGCACCUCGAUGUCGGCUCAUCACAUCCUGGGGCUGAAGUAGGUCCCAAGGGUAUGGCUGUUCGCCAUUUAAAGUGGUACGCGAGCUGGGUUUAGAACGUCGUGAGACAGUUCGGUCCCUAUCUGCCGUGGGCGCUGGAGAAUUGAGGGGGGCUGCUCCUAGUACGAGAGGACCGGAGUGGACGCAUCACUGGUGUUCGGGUUGUCAUGCCAAUGGCACUGCCCGGUAGCUAAAUGCGGAAGAGAUAAGUGCUGAAAGCAUCUAAGCACGAAACUUGCCCCGAGAUGAGUUCUCCCUGAGACUUUAAGUCUCCUGAAGGAACGUUGAAGACGACGACGUUGAUAGGCCGGGUGUGUAAGCGCAGCGAUGCGUUGAGCUAACCGGUACUAAUGAACCGUGAGGCUUAACCUU
rnacentral:rRNA from 1 species